rfam:Dipodomys ordii contig_31867, whole genome shotgun sequence.
GGGAAUGUGGCUUAGUGGUAGAGUGCUUGCCUAGCAUGUAUGAAGCCUGGGUUCAAUUCCUCAGUACCA